GUGUGUCCCAGAUGCCUGUGGCUGAGGGCAAGAGUGUCCAGCAGACAGUGGAGCUCCUCACCAAGAAAUUGGAGAUGCUUGGAGCAGAGAAACAAGGAACAUUUUGUGUGGACUGUGAAACUUACCACACAGCUGCCUCCACCCUGGGCAGCCAAGGUGGAGUAUGGCCCUUGUGUGGUAGCUAGUGACUGCUGGAGCCUCCUGCUUGAAUUCCUACAGAGUUUUCUAGGUAGCCACACACCAGGGGCGCCCACAGUGUUUGGGAACAGACAUGAUGCGGUCUACGGGCCAGCAGAUACCAUGGUACAGUACAUGGAGCUCUUCAACAAGGUCCGGAAACAGCAGCAAGUGCCUGUGGCUGGGAUCCGCUAGUGACUGGCAGCUGCCGCCUGCUGAGCUGUCACCAUGGCACUGUCAAGGACCACGUGCUGGACUUGGGUCCCAGCUGUAGCUUGUGUUCCAGGGCUUUGGACUCCCCUCCUGACCACAUCACAGCUGUUCUUUACUUCAUGCUUUAACUGGAUUUGGCUGGUCCUCAAGAAUGGUAAUUGUGAAGAAUGGAAAGGCUUGGGCCUUUCCUCCUGUAGGCAAAAGGUAGGACAGGGUUGUGCCCACCAGUGCUAGAGCUGUGUGUCCCCAGGUGCUGAGCAUUUCGAAUAGGCUGUAUGCCUGUGCUGCUUUCGCUUGAGGAUGUGGCUGGCAGGACGGGAUUGUUGGCUGCGAGAGUGUUGCUUUCAUUCUUUGGACACUGAUGUCUUCCCCUACUGUUUUGAAUUAUGUGAACCUGCAGGCCAAGUUGCUGUAGCAGAACCAAAAGCAGAGGGCUCUUACUGCACAGCUUAUUUUUCGUUAAUAGUUCAGAGGCAUUCAGUUCCACAGAACAGAAUGAACUCCACAGGGUUACCAGGAACUUGGCUUCUUAUGUCUUACUGUUCCUUCUAUCAUACUGUCCCCAGAAUGCUUUCCUCACCACAGGAUCAAAGCACGCUCAGUAUCUCCGUGCCCACAGUCUGCUGAGGAAAGAGAUAGGGAUGUUUUUCAAAGUUGAUUAGAUCACUGUGGACACACAUUCCUGACACUCAACACUCAGUUUUCUCAGGGGGCUUCCUAGUUUGCCGUCUUGGCUGGCUUGAGCCUUGAACUCACUGACAUUGCUCACCUGCCUCACACCUGUUACAGAAACAUUUAACACGUAGACAGGCUUGGGAAAGCUGUUCAUAUACAAAGUGUAGGGUGGCAGUGUUUGUGCAGCAGCUCUGAGGAGGUGGGUCAUUCUUGUGUCCUAGCUUUGGUGGGCAGGACAGCUCAUCACACCUUCCUGGUUAUCCUGUUACUUCCUCUUGCUUUUGUUGUUACUCUUUUAUUGUUGCUGUGUAAAAACUGAGGUGUUUUAGAUACCACAAUAAAAUUGACAAACACUACAGUUUCGGCCUUCUGUUCUGUGUUUGGUCUUGUUGCAGGCUGUCUACUUUGUACUUUGUACUGGUCGCUUGAAAACACAGAUGUUAAGUGUGGUAAAUAUGGACUCUCAGUUCCUACAUAAGAAGGGAUCAGUUUCUAAAAAAUAAAGAGAAGCACAAAC
rnacentral:lncRNA from 1 species